rnacentral:pre_miRNA from 1 species
AAAAAGACAAACCCUGGGUUUCCGUGUCCAACGUUUGACCGUCCAUCUUAUUUGAAAAAAUUAUGAAAAAAAAUUAAAAAGAUAAGUCACGCAUAAAGUAUUAAUCAUGUUUUAUCAUAUAACAGCAAUAAAAAUACUGAUUAUAAAAAAAUUUCAUAUAAAACGGACAGUCAAACGUUGGACACGGAAACCCAGGGUUUGUCUUUUU